UUAAGCGACUAAGCGUACACGGUGGAUGCCCUGGCAGUCAGAGGCGAUGAAGGACGUGCUAAUCUGCGAAAAGCGUCGGUAAGGUGAUAUGAACCGUUACAGCCGGCGAUGUCCGAAUGGGGAAACCCAGUGUGAUUCGUCACACUAUCGUUAACUGAAUACAUAGGUUAACGAGGCGAACCGGGGGAACUGAAACAUCUAAGUACCCCGAGGAAAAGAAAUCAACCGAGAUUCCCCCAGUAGCGGCGAGCGAACGGGGAGCAGCCCAGAGUCUGAAUCAGCUUGUGUGUUAGUGGAACGGUCUGGAAAGUCCGACGGUACAGGGUGAUAGUCCCGUACACCAAAAUGCACAGGUUGUGAACUCGAAGAGUAGGGCGGGACACGUGGUAUCCUGUCUGAAUAUGGGGGGACCAUCCUCCAAGGCUAAAUACUCCUGACUGACCGAUAGUGAACCAGUACCGUGAGGGAAAGGCGAAAAGAACCCCGGCGAGGGGAGUGAAAAAGAACCUGAAACCGUGUACGUACAAGCAGUGGGAGCACCUUCGGGUGUGACUGCGUACCUUUUGUAUAAUGGGUCAGCGACUUAUAUUCUGUAGCAAGGUUAACCGUAUAGGGGAGCCGCAGGGAAACCGAGUCUUAACUGGGCGUUAAGUUGCAGGGUAUAGACCCGAAACCCGGUGAUCUAGCCAUGGGCAGGUUGAAGGUUGGGUAACACUAACUGGAGGACCGAACCGACUAAUGUUGAAAAAUUAGCGGAUGACUUGUGGCUGGGGGUGAAAGGCCAAUCAAACCGGGAGAUAGCUGGUUCUCCCCGAAAGCUAUUUAGGUAGCGCCUCGUGAAUUCAUCUUCGGGGGUAGAGCACUGUUUCGGCUAGGGGGUCAUCCCGACUUACCAACCCGAUGCAAACUACGAAUACCGAAGAAUGUUAUCACGGGAGACACACGGCGGGUGCUAACGUCCGUCGUGAAGAGGGAAACAACCCAGACCGCCAGCUAAGGUCCCAAAGUCAUGGUUAAGUGGGAAACGAUGUGGGAAGGCACAGACAGCCAGGAUGUUGGCUUAGAAGCAGCCAUCAUUUAAAGAAAGCGUAAUAGCUCACUGGUCGAGUCGGCCUGCGCGGAAGAUGUAACGGGGCUAAACCAUGCACCGAAGCUGCGGCAGCGACACUAUGUGUUGUUGGGUAGGGGAGCGUUCUGUAAGCCUGCGAAGGUGACCUGUGAGGGUUGCUGGAGGUAUCAGAAGUGCGAAUGCUGACAUAAGUAACGAUAAAGCGGGUGAAAAGCCCGCUCGCCGGAAGACCAAGGGUUCCUGUCCAACGUUAAUCGGGGCAGGGUGAGUCGACCCCUAAGGCGAGGCCGAAAGGCGUAGUCGAUGGGAAACAGGUUAAUAUUCCUGUACUUGGUGUUACUGCGAAGGGGGGACGGAGAAGGCUAUGUUAGCCGGGCGACGGUUGUCCCGGUUUAAGCAUGUAGGCUGGUUGUCCAGGCAAAUCCGGAUAAUCAAGGCUGAGGUGUGAUGACGAGGCACUACGGUGCUGAAGUAACAAAUGCCCUGCUUCCAGGAAAAGCCUCUAAGCAUCAGGUAACAUUAAAUCGUACCCCAAACCGACACAGGUGGUCAGGUAGAGAAUACCAAGGCGCUUGAGAGAACUCGGGUGAAGGAACUAGGCAAAAUGGUGCCGUAACUUCGGGAGAAGGCACGCUGGUGUGUAGGUGAAGUCCCUGCGGAUGGAGCUGAGACCAGUCGAAGAUACCAGCUGGCUGCAACUGUUUAUUAAAAACACAGCACUGUGCAAACACGAAAGUGGACGUAUACGGUGUGACGCCUGCCCGGUGCCGGAAGGUUAAUUGAUGGGGUUAUCCGUAAGGAGAAGCUCUUGAUCGAAGCCCCGGUAAACGGCGGCCGUAACUAUAACGGUCCUAAGGUAGCGAAAUUCCUUGUCGGGUAAGUUCCGACCUGCACGAAUGGCGUAAUGAUGGCCAGGCUGUCUCCACCCGAGACUCAGUGAAAUUGAACUCGCUGUGAAGAUGCAGUGUACCCGCGGCAAGACGGAAAGACCCCGUGAACCUUUACUAUAGCUUGACACUGAACAUUGAGCCUUGAUGUGUAGGAUAGGUGGGAGGCUUUGAAGCGUGGACGCCAGUCUGCGUGGAGCCAACCUUGAAAUACCACCCUUUAAUGUUUGAUGUUCUAACGUUGGCCCCUUACCGGGGUUGCGGACAGUGUCUGGUGGGUAGUUUGACUGGGGCGGUCUCCUCCCAAAGCGUAACGGAGGAGCACGAAGGUUAGCUAAUCCUGGUCGGACAUCAGGAGGUUAGUGCAAUGGCAUAAGCUAGCUUGACUGCGAGCGUGACGGCGCGAGCAGGUGCGAAAGCAGGUCAUAGUGAUCCGGUGGUUCUGAAUGGAAGGGCCAUCGCUCAACGGAUAAAAGGUACUCCGGGGAUAACAGGCUGAUACCGCCCAAGAGUUCAUAUCGACGGCGGUGUUUGGCACCUCGAUGUCGGCUCAUCACAUCCUGGGGCUGAAGUAGGUCCCAAGGGUAUGGCUGUUCGCCAUUUAAAGUGGUACGCGAGCUGGGUUUAGAACGUCGUGAGACAGUUCGGUCCCUAUCUGCCGUGGGCGCUGGAGAAUUGAGGGGGGCUGCUCCUAGUACGAGAGGACCGGAGUGGACGCAUCACUGGUGUUCGGGUUGUCAUGCCAAUGGCACUGCCCGGUAGCUAAAUGCGGAAGAGAUAAGUGCUGAAAGCAUCUAAGCACGAAACUUGCCCCGAGAUGAGUUCUCCCUGAGACUUUAAGUCUCCUGAAGGAACGUUAAAGACGAUGACGUUGAUAGGCCGGGUGUGUAAGCGCAGCGAUGCGUUGAGCUAACCGGUACUAAUGAACCGUGAGGCUUAACCUU
rnacentral:rRNA from 1 species